UGCAGCCCAAAAAAAGACGCUGCAAAAAAAAUCAAAGCCUAUCAAUCCCCUUGAGGACACAGCGCCGCCCUCGUGCGAUCUCAGAGAUCACAGCGCCGCCUCCCCUCUAUCGCCAACUCCGACGUACGAUCUUGCCGCCGCCGACCCAGAGGAGACGUCGCCCGCGGACGUCCGGGAUCGCCGCCGCGGACUUAAGGGAUCAACGUCGCCGACCUCCCAGAGGAGACGCCGCCGCCGCCGACCUCUGAGGGGAGACGCCGCCGCCACCUCCGCUAAACCCUAGGCAUCCACCACCGUGCUCCCGCCGUCGGGUUCCGCCUGCGUUCGCCACCAUGCGAUCGCCUUCCUCCCUCAGCUUCUUUUCUCUACGCUCUGUCAGGCUGCAACAGCCUAAGUUUCUAUUUUCUAUCUGGGCUCCACUGGCAGUAGUAGGAUGCUCAUUGGCAACCCAAGGUGUGUAUGCCCCUACUUCCCCAAGGUACUCAAGCCCCAUGCCUGGGGCGACUUCAGCCACUGGACAAUAGUUCCGCCUUAAUUUGUUCCAUAUAUGUGUUGCAGUAUCAAUGCAUUUUCCAUUCAACUUUCUAAAGAUUUCUGUUCACAGAUGUGUGCUGCUGUGAGGCAUGUAGCACCACUUCUCCUGUGGUUCAUGUUUUCUGUACCUCUUGAUAUUUGACUUUGUGAAACUAACCGAAUUGUACUAAAGAUAGGCGUCAUGGUCUCAUGGAAUGGACAUCAUGGGGCUUAUUAGGAACUCUGAGUUCAGCGGGCACCAUGCCGAAAGGUGAAGCAACUUUUGGUAUUUUGUUAUAGCACAAUUUGUUCUUCUGUUUCCUAAACUUGAUCGCUCACUUGCUUUCUUUCACAUGGUAAAGAGGUCAAUCUCUUCCAAUACACAAUUGCUGAGGUAUGUAUCAAUGCCUAAAGGUUAAAAAAGACCCAGGUUACACCAUAUGGUUUAGGUUGCUCACCUUGGUGGCUGACUAGGCGUUCAAAAAUCUUAGUGAGAGUAUAAAGGACAUUGUUGAUGGUGCAAUAAUGGAACACAACAAGUUGUGUGUGUGUGUGUGUGUGUCGCACGACUUGGGAGUCUACAUCUAAGAGUUCCUUUCAGUUUUCUAUCAUAAACAUUUCUUUAUAAAAGUUAUGUUGGACACUUAUCUUCUCUUUACUUAUCGUUUCGUGGGACUACGAAAAAGUUCAUCUGUGUGUAACUACAAGGUUCUCGAAGUCCGCCCUCUCAUUGACAGGGUGAAAGUUGUGGAAUUUUUGCUUUAACUGUCUGGAGUAAGAUGACAGGACAUACAAAGAUGCAUUCAAGGUAAGCUCAAGUGAAAUUAGGUGUUCAUAAGACAAUUCUUUCAAGUUGCGACCUACAUUGUGGUGUCUCCGUUCAUCAAGUUCUGAGCACCAGCUCCAGUGAAAUUAGAUGUUCAUCCAGCCAUACUCCUAGGUGGAUUUCUUUGGUGUGCUUAUUAUUGUGUAGUUAGUGGUUAUGCACAUGCCUCAUCAUCUGAUAUUUCUGCAGUAGUUACUGAAAGCAAUCUGAGGACAAAGCUUUGAUUGUUGUUGUAGUUGAAGAUUCAGAGUUGCAAGGCAGGCACAGUUAACAGGGAUAAGAAACUAUAGAAGAUUUAUCAAACCAGAUAUAUGGGCUUGGUUAUGCACUGAAUAAUUGUGGAGGAUCUCAGGGCAUAUUUCCAACAGGACCGUCCAAGGGCAGGGAAGGAGGUGCCUUCCCGCCCGUCUCUUUGCCUGUCAUGGCUGCAAGCUUCGGUAGGGGAUGGUGUCGGGACCAUGGGUGUUGGGGCGGCGGCCCUGGAGGUGGGAGGCGUGGGCUCAUGGGCGGAGCUCGCGGCUCGGGUGUGAGCUAGCUACUGUGACCGUGCGGGGGGUGUGGUGGUCAGGGUGCGACAACCGGAGGGGUAGGUCCGGCGGGCCUGGUUUGUUGUGCCUCGCCUCGGGGGCUGUGAGGACUUCCCGGGGUGAAAACCUGCUUUGGCUCUGCCAAGCCGACGGCGACGUCGCCUAUGGGCGGUGCCUCCUUCUUGAAGGCGUCGUCGCGGCUCCUAUACAUGCUCCGAUUGCUUUGAAGGAAACCUUGAUCUUGGGAUCGGGCGGUGGUGAUACUCCUGUGUCGUGCCCUUCUUGAAGGCACCGCCUUGGAGUGUUCGGCUUGUCGUGCACAGCUCUCUCUCUCUUCACGGUGACUCGCUCACGGUUGAGGUCUGCGGAGACUACAAGUGGUGCUAUCCCUGCCUACAUGUAGUUGCUUGGAGUGGAUGGGGGUGAUCUACCAGUUCAUAUACACCCUUGUAUCUUGCCUUGUGUGUGUGUUGUGGGGUGAGUUGUAUGUGUUGGUAUGUAUGGUGAUCGUUGCUUUAUGUAUAAAGCGGGGCACGAGCCUUUUCGGUAAUGAAGCAUUUGGUUGUCUCCGUUCCGGGUUUUUUUUGUCCCACCUCCCACCUUCGUCUGGUUUUAGGUUGAAUUCUUGUUCUCUAGAUCCACCUUCACCGACAGCACGCGCUUGUCUGUGACCUCCCACUAGCAGCGCCUUGAGGUCACCCACAAAAGCGACCAAGCAAUUCCAUGCUGUCACCCUCUACUACUUCGCCAACGACAUCGAGGAGGUCGUGGGUGAGAGCUACUGUCCUCCUUGGAGAACAUGCUCGUGCCCCAUGCGUACGAAGAAGAGCUAAGACACUCGCAUGGGUGCUCAAGGAAAUACACCACAUUGAGCGAGAGUGUUACACAAUUUAUCAACAAGAGCAAAGACUCUAAUCUGAUGAUGUAGGACAGCUUUAAUGUGACAGAGGAUCAUGGUGGUCGAUGGAUUGUGCACCCGGUAGUAGACUAAGAAAGGAACAUUAUUUAUGGAACACAAUGAUAUUCAGAGCAGCCCUGCACUAUGUGAGAUUUAGAAGUUGGUACUGCCGGCGGAUGCAUCCAUCUGCUAAUCUCCUGGCACCGCGUAGACGGAGCCAAACGAGUUGGGGCCUCCAGCCGGCUGGUAGUGGACAACAACACCGGGUUUGUUAAUUACUCAACAAGUCACAGAUUGAUCUCUUUUUUGAUUGGUUUGGUGUGGAUUAUCAGGCCUGCCGCGCAAUCAUAGAUUUAUCUUUUGCUUUAUGUGGGUGGACAGAAACACCCUUUCUAAAGUUUUGUAGGUAUUGUAAUGAAGCACAGUAACACACUCCAGCAUUCAUUCUUUGCUUGAUAUUAGCAAACAAUGUAAAAUAACCAAGCUCACAACAUUCUAAAGCGGUCUAUUAGCUACUUCAGCAGACAACAGACAGAAAGAAGUAAGCAGUAUUUGAUUUGCUCAUACCCGUGGAGGCAUCGAAUUCUGCCCAAAGUUUGUCGCAGCACUUGUGGUCAGCGGCGAGGAUGAGCACCCACACCCGCUCCUUGUUGCCGGCCUCUGCAUCCUCCUCCCUCGAAGCGGGUCUAUGCGGGGAGUUGAUCUAGAAUAUCCUAUUGUUAGAUAUAACAAAUAGGUGACAAGAAAUAAACAAGAACUAUGUAGUACAAUAUAUGUGUCACACAGUAUACUUUGAAAAUGUGUAAUUUGAGAUUCUGAUAUAGAUGUGGGCCUGUAACACACCUUGAACAUGCACUAAAAAUUGUUGUUUACAGUCUGAUUUCUAAACCUGAUGAAAA